CCAGCAACUACCACCUUUCCCCGAGCACCGUUCUCGACCACCAAGAUGAAAGCCUUUAUCGUAGUAUGUGCUCUCGUGGCGUGUGCCCUCGCUGAAGAAGAAGUGCGUGAGAAGCGCGGUUUCCUGCACGGCGGCUACUCCGGCUACUCAGGAUACAGUGGUCUAGGAGGCUACUCGGGCUACAGGGGUGGGGGUGGUUACUCCAGCUACGGUGGUCUAGGUGGCUACUCCAGCUACGGUGGUUUAGGUGGCUACUCCGGCUACAGUGGACUGGGCUACUCCGGUCACAUUCGUUUGGGAGGCUACUCUGGCUACGGCGGCCAUAGAGGCUAUGGCUCCAGAUAUUACUCAGGAUAUGGCUCCGGCUACGGCUCUGGUUAUGGUUCCGGCUAUGGAUCUGGAUAUGGCUCCGGAUAUGGUUCUGGAUAUGGCUCCAGAUAUUACGGCGGCUGGUGAUCUCUAGUCACAGGCUCAUUAUGACCUGAAUUAUUUCAUAGAAUUGUUAUCCUCUAAGUUUUUUAAUUCAUAAUAAAUAUCUAUUUAAAUGAAA